rnacentral:rRNA from 1 species
GGUGAGUGGAGCGGCGGACGGGUGAGUAACGCGUAGGAAUCUGCCUGGUAGUGGGGGACAACCUGUGGAAACGCAGGCUAAUACCGCAUACGCCCUGAGGGGGAAAGCGGGGGAUCUUCGGACCUCGCGCUAUCAGAUGAGCCUGCGUUAGAUUAGCUAGUUGGUGGGGUAAUGGCCUACCAAGGCGACGAUCUAUAGCUGGUCUGAGAGGAUGAUCAGCCACACUGGGACUGAGACACGGCCCAGACUCCUACGGGAGGCAGCAGUGGGGAAUAUUGCGCAAUGGGGGAAACCCUGACGCAGCCAUACCGCGUGUGUGAAGAAGGCCUUAGGGUUGUAAAGCACUUUCAAUUGGGAGGAAAGGUCCAGGGUGAAUACCCCUGGGCUGUGACGUUACCUUUAGAAGAAGCACCGGCUAACUCCGUGCCAGCAGCCGCGGUAAUACGGAGGGUGCAAGCGUUAAUCGGAAUUACUGGGCGUAAAGCGCGCGUAGGCGGUUUGUUAAGUCGGAUGUGAAAGCCCCGGGCUCAACCUGGGAACUGCAUCCGAUACUGGCCGACUUGAGUACGAGAGAGGGAGGUAGAAUUCCAUGUGUAGCGGUGAAAUGCGUAGAUAUAUGGAGGAAUACCAGUGGCGAAGGCGGCCUCCUGGCUCGAUACUGACGCUGAGGUGCGAAAGCGUGGGGAG